AGGACUGUAGUUAAAUAUAACAUUUGAUUUGCAUUCAAAAAGUAUUGAUUAAUCAAUCUGUCUUA
rnacentral:tRNA from 2 species